ACACACAUGGCAAAAAUUUAUGUGGUUUCACACAUAACACCUAUAUGGAGAAUGAACUCGUGAAUAUCAACAACCAAAACAAGUCAGACACGAGGCAACCAUUUUGCAGAAUAGGACAAAACGCUAACUUUUCGCAAGUUUUUCGAUGGAAUAUGGAACAAUGAGAAUGUGCGUCGAAAGCAUAUUUCAAGCUACAUGUUUCCUUCAAUCGAGACUGUUCCUGGUGGAUUCUAAAACACAUGAAAGGAGAAAAGUUGAAUAACGUGCGAAAAGUUCCCGUUUCGAAAUAAGGCACAUUGCGCAAUUUAGAAGAAAUUCUGGUUGCAGCUUCACGAGUCUGGAAGAUCCAGAUCCAU